GGACGAGCAUAUAUUAAAUUACGUGAUCUCCCUGUGAACGCCGUCCGUGUAACGUGCGCGUGUGUGCGUGCAGCGCGCAUGUGUGCGCGGUCACGCCGUGUUCCCUUACCGGGCCGGGUUUCAGCGGCUGUCAUUCGAGUUGCCUUGGUUCUUCAACACAUAUUCCUAUAUUAUGGAAUUUCAGACGCGUCUCAGGUGUCCUCCGACUCGUCUGUCAGGUACGGGCGGGAACAGCACUGACUGGGUAUCAAACGAGAUAAGCUGCUUGUUGUUAUUACUGUCAGUUCGGAUAUGCACGCGCGCGCCCUCAUGUCUCCUCUGCGGAUUAAAUCAAACUGGUGAGCGACCGAACUCGGCCGAGCUCACUCGAGCUCUCGAUGAUCACCGCUCCUAUAUUAGAGCGCCGUGCGAGUGGAAAGCAUGUGGGUGCCCGGGCUCUGCUUGGAUGCGGAUCGGAUCGGCGAGUGUCGGCGACGGCGCAAUUACUGCACAUUUGUGAUAUUAGUGCCUGCGGCUGCGGCGCGGCGGCGGGGCGGCGGGGCGGCGGUGGGGCGGCGCGGGGCGGCCGCGGCGGGACGUGAUGUGAGCGCCUGCAGCGACCCACAGGGCGGA